GCAGUCGAAACGAACCCUUCGGGGUGAGUGGCGCACGGGUGCGUAACGCGUGGGAACCUGCCUUUAGGUUUGGAAUAACAGUGAGAAAUCGCUGCUAAUACCAAAUAAUGUCUUCGGACCAAAGAUUUAUCGCCUUUAGAUGGGCCGCGUUGGAUUAGCUAGUUGGUGGGGUAAAGGCUCACCAAGGCGACGAUCCAUAGCUGGUCUUAGAGGAUGAUCAGCCACACUGGGACUGAGACACGGCCCAGACUCCUACGGGAGGCAGCAGUGGGGAAUAUUGGACAAUGGGCGAAAGCCUGAUCCAGCAAUGCCGCGUGAGUGAUGAAGGCCUUAGGGUUGUAAAGCUCUUUUACCAGGGAUGAUAAUGACAGUACCUGGAGAAUAAGCUCCGGCUAACUCCGUGCCAGCAGCCGCGGUAAUACGGAGGGAGCUAGCGUUGUUCGGAA
rnacentral:rRNA from 1 species